UCCUCACCGUCUUCCAGUCCCACCUCAAGACCCAUCUCUUCACCUAAGCCUAUCCAUAGCCACAGGCCCCGCUCCCUUUUCAUCUGUGUCUGAAUCUUGUUUUGUUCUUCUUGUUUUGUUUG